rnacentral:rRNA from 1 species
CCUACGGGCGGCAGCAGUGGGGAAUAUUGCGCAAUGGGCGAAAGCCUGACGCAGCGACGCCGCGUGAGGGAUGAAGGUCUUCGGAUCGUAAACCUCUGUCAGCAGGGAAGAACGGUCACUGUGCUAAUCAGCAGUGAAUUGACGGUACCUACAAAGGAAGCACCGGCUAACUCCGUGCCAGCAGCCGCGGUAAUACGGAGGGUGCGAGCGUUAAUCGGAAUUACUGGGCGUAAAGCGCUCGUAGGCGGUAUGUCAAGUCAAGGGUGAAAUCCCCGCGCUCAACGUGGGAACUGCCUUUGAAACUGGCAAACUGGAGUGUGUGAGCGGAGAGUGGAAUUCCAGGUGUAGGAGUGAAAUCCGUAGAUAUCUGGAGGAACAUCAGUGGCGAAGGCGACUAUCUGGAACAUAACUGACGCUGCGGAGCGAAAGCGUGGGUAGCAAACAGGAUUAGAUACCCUUGUAGUC